rnacentral:rRNA from 1 species
AGUGGGGAAUAUUGCACAAUGGGCGCAAGCCUGAUGCAGCCAUGCCGCGUGUAUGAAGAAGGCCUUAGGGUUGUAAAGUACUUUCAGCGGGGAGGAAGGUGAUAAGGUUAAUACCCUUAUCAAUUGACGUUACCCGCAGAAGAAGCACCGGCUAACUCCGUGCCAGCAGCCGCGGUAAUGCGGAGGGUGCAAGCGUUAAUCGGAAUUACUGGGCGUAAAGCGCACGCAGGCGGUCAAUUAAGUCAGAUGUGAAAGCCCCGAGCUUAACUUGGGAAUUGCAUCUGAAACUGGUUGGCUAGAGUCUUGUAGAGGGGGGUAGAAUUCCAUGUGUAGCGGUGAAAUGCGUAGAGAUGUGGAGGAAUACCGGUGGCGAAGGCGGCCCCCUGGACAAAGACUGACGCUCAGGUGCGAAAGCGUGGGGAGCAAACAGGAUUAGAUACCCUGGUAGUCCACGCUGUAAACGAUGUCGAUUUAGAGGUUGUGGUCUUGAACCGUGGCUUCUGGAGCUAACGCGUAAAUCGACC